rnacentral:rRNA from 1 species
GUAUGACGGUUGCACUUUUAAGCUUGGUUUCAGCUAGCCAGGUUAAAUUUUUAGUUUAAGCUAAAAUACUUAAAUUAUCUAGGGGGACGAUAAGACCCUAAAAUUUUCAUUCUUUUUAACUUAAUGCAGUAAUGGUUUGUGGGCCUAGGUAAAACCGGGGUUUGGCUGGGGCAGUGUCUUUGUUUAAUUCAAAGGGCUUAACUACAGAGGUUGGUGGUGUGACCCUUGUUAUUAAGAUAAGUUGGUUUAAUUACUUUAGGGGUAACAGCGUUAUCUCUUCGUUGAGUCCGUAUCUAUGGGGAGGAUUGCGACCUCGAUGUUGAAUUAUAAGAUCUUUACGCAGAAGAAGGCGGUAUAGAGGGUUUGUUCAACCCUUAAAAUUUUACAUGAUUU